UACGGAGGAUGCGAGCGUUAUCCGGAUUUAUUGGGUUUAAAGGGUGCGUAGGCGGUCCGUUAAGUCAGCGGUAAAAUUGCGGGGCUCAACCCCGCCGAGCCGUCGGAACUGGGGGCCUUGAGUGCGGCGGAGGCAUGCGGAAUGCGCGGUGUAGCGGUGAAAUGCAUAGAUAUCGCGCAGAACCCCGAUUGCGAAGGCAGCAUACCGGCGCCCGACUGACGCUGAAGCACGAAAGCGUGGGUAUCGAACAGG
rnacentral:rRNA from 1 species